rnacentral:rRNA from 1 species
AAUAGAUACCCCGGUAGUCCACGCCGUAAACGAUGAGUGCUAAGUGUUAGAGGGUUUCCGCCCUUUAGUGCUGCAGCUAACGCAUUAAGCACUCCGCCUGGGGAGUACGGCCGCAAGGCUGAAACUCAAAGGAAUUGACGGGGGCCCGCACAAGCGGUGGAGCAUGUGGUUUAAUUCGAAGCAACGCGAAGAACCUUACCAGGUCUUGACAUCCUCUGCCAACCCUAGAGAUAGGGCGUUCCCCUUCGGGGGACAGAGUGACAGGUGGUGCAUGGUUGUCGUCAGCUCGUGUCGUGAGAUGUUGGGUUAAGUCCCGCAACGAGCGCAACCCUUGAUCUUAGUUGCCAGCAUUCAAUUGGGCACUCUAAGGUGACUGCCGGUGACAAACCGGAGGAAGGUGGGGAUGACGUCAAAUCAUCAUGCCCCUUAUGACCUGGGCUACACACGUGCUACAAUGGAUGGUACAAAGAGCAGCGAACCCGCGAGGGUAAGCCAAUCUCAUAAAGCCAUUCUCAGUUCGGA